GACGAACGCUGGCGGCGUGCUUAACACAUGCAAGUCGAGCGGAGCGGCGAACGGGAGAGUAACGCGUGAGUAACCUGCCCUCCUUUUUGGGAUAAGCCAUGGAAAAGGGAUCGAAUACAGAAUAAAGGUGGAUGGGCUAGCGGCCUAUCAGCUUGGUGGUGGGGUGAUGGCCUACCAAGGCGGUGACGGGUAGCCGGCCUGAGAGGGGGACCGGCAACAUUGAGACGGCGAUACGGCCCAGAGUCCUACGGGAGGGAGCAGUGGGGGCUAUUGCACAAUGGGCGAAAGACGGAUGCAGCGACGCCGCGUUGGGGAUGAAGGCUUUCGGGUUGUAAACCUCUGUCGCUAGCGAACGGGUAGGUGGAGAAGAAGCGCCGGCUAACUACGUGCCAGCAGCCGCGGUAAUAC
rnacentral:rRNA from 1 species